UACGUAGGGUGCAAGCGUUGUCCGGAAUCAUUGGGCGUAAAGCGCGCGUAGGUGGUCAUGUAAGUCCGCUGUGAAAGUCAAAGGCUCAACCUUUGAAAGCCGGUGGAUACUGCAUGACUAGAGUACGGAAGAGGCGAGUGGAAUUCCUGGUGUAGCGGUGGAAUGCGCAGAUAUCAGGAGGAACACCGGUGGUGUAGACGGCUUACUGGACCAUAACUGACGCUGAGACACGAAAGCGUGGGUAGCAAACAGG
rnacentral:rRNA from 1 species